rnacentral:tRNA from 1 species
CCUUCGAUAGCUCAGUUGGUAGAGCGGAGGACUGUAGAUUUAUAAUUGGGAUAUCUAGGUCGCUGGUUCGAAUCCUGCUCGAAGGA